rnacentral:rRNA from 1 species
AGCGAACGCUGGCGGCAGGCCUAACACAUGCAAGUCGAACGGACCCUUCGGGGUUAGUGGCGGACGGGUGAGUAACACGUGGGAACGUGCCUUUAGGUUCGGAAUAACUCAGGGAAACUUGUGCUAAUACCGAAUGUGCCCUUCGGGGGAAAGAUUUAUCGCCUUUAGAGCGGCCCGCGUCUGAUUAGCUAGUUGGUGAGGUAAUGGCUCACCAAGGCUACGAUCAGUAGCUGGUCUGAGAGGAUGACCAGCCACAUUGGGACUGAGACACGGCCCAAACUCCUACGGGAGGCAGUAGUGGGGAGUCUUGCGCAAUGGGCGAAAGCCUGACGCAGCCAUGCCGCGUGGAUGAUGAAGGUCUUAGGAUUGUAAAAUCCUUUCACCGGUGAAGAUAAUGACUGUAGCCGGAGAAGAAGCCCCGGCUAACUUCGUGCCAGCCGCCGCGGUAAUAC